rnacentral:rRNA from 1 species
AGAGUUUGAUCCUGGCUCAGGACGAACGCUGGCGGCGUGCCUAACACAUGCAAGUCGAACGAUGAUCCGGUGCUUGCGCCGGGGAUUAGUGGCGAACGGGUGAGUAACACGUGAGUAACCUGCCCUUAACUCUGGGAUAAGCCUGGGAAACUGGGUCUAAUACCGGAUAUGACUCCUCAUCGCAUGGUGGGGGGUGGAAAGCUUUUUGUGGUUUUGGAUGGACUCGCGGCCUAUCAGCUUGUUGGUGAGGUAAUGGCUCACCAAGGCGACGACGGGUAGCCGGCCUGAGAGGGUGACCGGCCACACUGGGACUGACAUACGGGUCAGACUCCUACGGGAGGCAGCAGUCGGGAAUUUUGGGCAAUGGGCGAAAGCCUGACCCAGCAACGCCGCGUGAAGGAUGAAAUCCCUCGGGAUGUAAACUUCGCAAGAACGGGAAGAAUAAGUUGGUGUGAACAUCACCAGCGAUGACGGUACCGUUUGUAAGCUCCGGCUAACUCCGUGCCAGCAGCCGCGGUAAUACGGGGGGAGCAAGCGUUGUUCGGAUUUACUGGGCGUAAAGGGCGCGUAGGCGGCCACCGCAAGUCGACUGUGAAAUCUCCGGGCUUAACUCGGAAAGGUCAGCCGAUACUGCGGGGCUAGAGUGCAGAAGGGGCAACUGGAAUUCUCGGUGUAGCGGUGAAAUGCGUAGAUAUCGAGAGGAACACCUGCGGCGAAGGCGGGUUGCUGGGCUGACACUGACGCUGAGGCGCGAAAGCUAGGGGAGCGAACGGGAUUAGAUACCCCGGUAGUCCUAGCCUUAAACGAUGGAUGCUUGGUGUCUGGGGUUUUAUAGUCCCCGGGUGCCGUCGCUAACGCUUUAAGCAUCCCGCCUGGGGAGUACGGUCGCAAGACUGAAACUCAAAGGAAUUGACGG